GAGUGGCGAACUGGUGAGUAACACGUGGGAAACCUGCCCAGAAGCGGGGGAUAACACCUGGAAACAGAUGCUAAUACCGCAUAACAACUUGGACCGCAUGGUCCGAGCUUGAAAGAUGGCUUCGGCUAUCACUUUUGGAUGGUCCCGCGGCGUAUUAGCUAGAUGGUGGGGUAACGGCUCACCAUGGCAAUGAUACGUAGCCGACCUGAGAGGGUAAUCGGCCACAUUGGGACUGAGACACGGCCCAAACUCCUACGGGAGGCAGCAGUAGGGAAUCUUCCACAAUGGACGAAAGUCUGAUGGAGCAACGCCGCGUGAGUGAAGAAGGGUUUCGGCUCGUAAAACUCUGUUGUUAAAGAAGAACAUAUCUGAGAGUAACUGUUCAGGUAUUGACGGUAUUUAACCAGAAAGCCACGGCUAACUACGUGCCAGCAGCCGCGGUAAUACGUAGGUGGCAAGCGUUGUCCGGAUUUAUUGGGCGUAAAGCGAGCGCAGGCGGUUUUUUAAGUCUGAUGUGAAAGCCUUCGGCUCAACCGAAGAAGUGCAUCGGAAACUGGGAAACUUGAGUGCAGAAGAGGACAGUGGAACUCCAUGUGUAGCGGUGAAAUGCGUAGAUAUAUGGAAGAACACCAGUGGCGAAGGCGGCUGUCUGGUCUGUAACUGACGCUGAGGCUCGAAAGUAUGGGUAGCAAACAGGAUUAGAUACCCUGGUAGUCCAUACCGUAAACGAUGAAUGCUAAGUGUUGGAGGGUUUCCGCCCUUCAGUGCUGCAGCUAACGCAUUAAGCAUUCCGCCUGGGGAGUACGGCCGCAAGGCUGAAACUCAAAGGAAUUGACGGGGGCCCGCACAAGCGGUGGAGCAUGUGGUUUAAUUCGAAGCUACGCGAAGAACCUUACCAGGUCUUGACAUACUAUGCAAAUCUAAGAGAUUAGACGUUCCCUUCGGGGACAUGGAUACAGGUGGUGCAUGGUUGUCGUCAGCUCGUGUCGUGAGAUGUUGGGUUAAGUCCCGCAACGAGCGCAACCCUUAUUAUCAGUUGCCAGCAUUAAGUUGGGCACUCUGGUGAGACUGCCGGUGACAAACCGGAGGAAGGUGGGGAUGACGUCAAAUCAUCAUGCCCCUUAUGACCUGGGCUACACACGUGCUACAAUGGAUGGUACAACGAGUUGCGAACUCGCGAGAGUAAGCUAAUCUCUUAAAGCCAUUCUCAGUUCGGAUUGUAGGCUGCAACUCGCCUACAUGAAGUCGGAAUCGCUAGUAAUCGCGGAUCAGCAUGCCGCGGUGAAUACGUUCCCGGGCCUUGUACACACCGCCCGUCACACCAUGAGAGUUUGUAACACCCAAAGUCGGUGGGGUAACCUUUUAGGAACCAGCCGCCUAAGGUGG
rnacentral:rRNA from 1 species